rnacentral:rRNA from 1 species
CCUACGAGCGGCUGCAGUGGGGAAUAUUGGACAAUGGGGGCAACCCUGAUCCAGCCAUGCCGCGUGUGUGAAGAAGGCCCUCGGGUUGUAAAGCACUUUCAGUGAGGAAGAACGCCUGGUGGUUAAUACCCAUCAGGAAAGACAUCACUCACAGAAGAAGCACCGGCUAACUCCGUGCCAGCAGCCGCGGUAAUACGGAGGGUGCGAGCGUUAAUCGGAAUUACUGGGCGUAAAGCGCGCGUAGGUGGCUUGAUAAGCCGGUUGUGAAAGCCCCGGGCUCAACCUGGGAACGGCAUCCGGAACUGUCAAGCUAGAGUGCAGGAGAGGAAGGUAGAAUUCCCGGUGUAGCGGUGAAAUGCGUAGAGAUCGGGAGGAAUACCAGUGGCGAAGGCGGCCUUCUGGACUGACACUGACACUGAGGUGCGAAAGCGUGGGUAGCAAACAGGAUUAGAUACCCUAGUAGUC